CAACCUCGGCCGGUGGAGGGAGGGGCCGCACGUGACUUUGGCGUUUCCCCGGAAGGGGCGGGGCCUCCGCCGUGGCGAUGGAGUCGACCGGCCACCGGGUGGUCUUUGAGAAAUCGGGCGUUUUCCUCCACACGAGCGCCAAGCCCCGCCAGGAUCCCGACUCUCUCAUCGCUGGGGUCAUCCGCCUCGUGGAGAAGGACUCAGACGUCCUACUGCACUGGGCCCCGGUGGAAGAAGCCGGAGAUGGGACACAGAUCAUCUUUUCCAAGAAGGAGCCGACAGGCGGGGAGUCUUGCCCGCCCGAGGAGGACCUCUUCGACCCUGGCUACGAGCCCGACUGGGCCGUCAUCAGCCCCGUGGGAGCCCGGUUCCGGGCCCAGGAGCCGGGCACCGGCGCAGGGGCCGGUGCGUCCCGGCCGUCGUGGGCCUUCUCCCUGAGGCUGGCGGAGCUCAAGUCGAUCCGCCGCUCCAAGCCCGGGCUGGGCUGGGCCUACCUCGUGCUGGUCACUCAGGCCGGGGGCUCCUUGCCCGCCCUCCACUUCCACCGCGGGGGGACGCGGUCCCUGCUCCGGGCCCUCAGCAGAUACCUGAUCCUCGCCAGCUCCCCCCAGGAUUCCCGCCUCUACCUCGUCUUCCCCCACGACUCCUCCGCCCUCUCUAACUCCUUCCACCAGCUGCAUCUCUUCGAUGAGGACAGCUCCAACGUGGUCUCCCGUUUCCUCCAAGACCCUUACGCCGCCACCUUCGGAGGCUUCUCGCGCGUCACCAACUUCUUCCGCGGUGCCCUGCAGCACCCCCACGACGGGAGCCCCCCGCCCGGCCUCCUGGGCCCCGAGGACGAGCCCGAGCCCGGCUUCGAGGUCAUCUCCUGCGUGGAGCUGGGCCCCCGGCCGGCCGUGGUCCGGGGCGCCCCCGUGACGGAGGAGGAAUGGGCGGAGCACGUUGACGCGGACGGGCGGCUGAAGGACGUGCCCGAACUGAAGGCCCGGAUCUUCUCCGGGGGCCUGCACCCCUCUCUGCGGAAGGAGGCCUGGAAAUACCUCCUGGGCUACUUGAGCUGGGAGGGCAGCGGCGAGGAGCACAGGGCCCAGCUGCGGAGGAAGACGGACGAGUACUUCCGCAUGAAGCUGCAGUGGAAAUCCGUGAGCGAAGAGCAGGAGAAGAGGAACUCCCUGCUCCGUGGAUACCGCAGCCUGAUCGAGCGGGACGUCAGCCGGACCGAUCGGAACAACAAGUUCUACGAGGGGCCCGACAACCCCGGCCUGGGGCUGCUCAAUGAUAUUCUGCUGACCUACUGCAUGUAUCACUUCGACCUGGGUUACGUCCAGGGCAUGAGCGACCUCCUCUCCCCGAUCCUCUUCGUCACCCAGAACGAGGUCGACGCUUUCUGGUGUUUCUGUGGUUUCAUGGAGCUUGUGCACGGAAACUUCGAAGAGAGUCAGGACAGCAUGAAGCGCCAGCUGGGCCAGCUGACCCUGCUGCUGAGAGUCCUCGACCCCCCGCUCUGCGACUUUCUGGACUCCCAGGAGUCAGGAUCCCUCUGCUUCUGCUUCCGCUGGAUCCUGAUCUGGUUCAAGCGGGAGUUCGCCUUCCCCGACGUGCUGCGGCUGUGGGAGGUCCUGUGGACGGGCCUCCCUGGCCCCAACUUCCACCUGCUCGUGGCCUGUGGGAUCCUGGAUGCUGAGAGAGACGCCCUCAUGACGUCGGGCUUUGGCUCCAAUGAGAUCCUCAAGCACAUCAACGAGCUGACUAUGACGAUGAGCGUGGAGAAGAUCUUAACGCGGGCCGAGGAGCUGUAUCGGCAGCUGGCUGCCUGCCCGGAGCUGCCCCUCAACGUCCAGGAGAUCCUGGGCCUGGCCGCGGCUCCCCCGGCAACCCCUGCCAGCCCUUCCUCUCCGGCACCCGUCUUCCUCCUGUCCCCGGGGGUCCCAUCCCCCGGCCCCCCUCCGCCUGCCACGCAACCGCCCCGCCGGUCAGAGAGCAGCCCGGGGACCCCCCCACCGGACACCGCCCCCGACCCCUGAUUCCGGCCCGCCUCCUCCCCAGCACGUGCACUUUACCUCCCCCCCGGCCCGACCCCCGCACCCCACCCCUCUUCCCCCCAAGCCCACCGUUGUCAUCUCUGAACCUGACCCUGGGGGGGUCUCACCCCCUCCCGGCGAAUACCCGGAAGGAAGGGGGUGAGCACACGCCUCCCAGAAUCUUCUUCACCUCGGAACGCCCCGGAUCUUCGGCCCCCGCCACUCCCGACGACUCCCGUGGCCGACUGCGUUAACCGGAAUCGCUGUCCGGGCCUCCUGCCUGGGCGGCGGGGACAGAGCGGUGCCAGGAGGGGUGAGGAUCCCCCCAGUCCUCCCCCAACCCCGGGACCGGCCGUCGCCAAUUCUUUCUGGAUCCUGGGUGGGGGCGGGGCUGACCUGAGGCCCAGAAGAGAAGACGAGGGAACCGAGGCACAGAGAAGCGAAGAGACCGGCCCAAGAUCUCACGGCAGACGAGCGGCGGAGCCGGGAUGGGAGUAGGAACUGGGAUCGGGAGUUGGAGUCCGGCCGGAAGGAGGGGGAGGGCGGCGAGGCUGAGCCUGGAAGUUGGGGGGAGCAUCACGAGGUGAGAAUGAGGAGCCAGGGCUAGGCCGGAUCGUU